CAGAAGUCGAGCAUCGCUGCCACAACACU
rnacentral:sRNA from 1 species